rnacentral:tRNA from 1 species
GUGGCUAUAGCUCAGCGGAUUAGAGCGCUUGUCUACGGAACAAGAGGUCGCAGGUUCGAAUCCUGCUAGCCACG